AACGAACGCUGGCGGCAGGCUUAACACAUGCAAGUCGAACGCAGGAGGCGGGGUGAGUGGCAGACGGGUGAGUAACGCGUGGGAACGUGCCCUUCUGCUUGGGAUAACCCAGGGAAACGUGGGCUAAUACCGGAUACGUGCGAGAGCAGAAAGAUUUAUCGCUGAAGGAUCGGCCCGCGUCUGAUUAGCUGGUUGGUAGGUUAGUGGCAUACCAAGGCGACGAUCAGUAGCUGGUCUGAGAGGAUGAUCAGCCACAUUGGGACUGAGAGACGGCCCAAACUCUUACGGGAGGCAGCAGUGGGUAAUAUUGGCAAAAGGGCUCAAGCCUGAUCCAGUCAUGCCGGGUGAGUGAUGAAGGCCUUAGGGUUGUAAAGCUCUUUCAGUGGGGACGAUAAUGACGGUACCCGAAGAAGAAGCCCCGGCUAACUUCGUGCCAGCAGCCGCCGUAA
rnacentral:rRNA from 1 species